rnacentral:SRP_RNA from 1 species
UCGUGCUAGAUGGGGAGCUAGCGGUGCCCUGUACCCGCAACCCGCUUAGCGGGGUCGAAUUCCCUCUCGAGGUCCGGCUCUGUGGGACUAACGUCGCCACGUGGUGUUGAAGGCCGGGUCCCGCGCGGCGAGGCACUGUGAACCAGGUCAGGACCGGAAGGUAGCAGCCUUAAGCGGAACGCCUCGGGUGACGCGGGGACGCCCCGCCGGAGCAAACGAGCGCCGGAAAGCCGGAGGGUCGCUGAUCGACAGAGGGUGCACGA